ACGUCACCCAACUGACCGAGUCGUUACAGACGAGUCCCGAUGACAUCAUCAACUCUCGGCGAAGCGGGAGGAAUCGAUCCCUUCUUCUCGAUUCCGGUCGAAGUCGAUGCCCUGACGGCGUAGAAGCUCGAUGGAGUUCGGAGCGUGGAGGUCACGCGCCACGUCAAAGUCCUUAAAGUUGAACUCCCAGAUAAAUCGGGUGUCGCCGGUGCCGAGAUCUGGCAAGUUUCCGUCAGAAUCGGAGAGAGUGAUUCCGAUCUGGAUGAGAUGGAGGAGGUCGACGUUGGAUUUGAGGAAUUGGUAGUGAUGGGAGGGGUGAUUUGGAGAUUUGGGUAUGUCUUGUUGGGGGAAAAUGACUCCGGGGAACUCCGUGUCCAUUGAAACGCAAGGGAAUUGGUCGAUGAGAUCGCGGAUCAAACGAAAUU
rnacentral:lncRNA from 1 species